UGGGGAAUAUUGCACAAUGGGCGAAAGCCUGAUGCAGCAACGCCGCGUGAGUGAUGAAGGUCUUCGGAUUGUAAAGCUCUGUCUUUUGGGACGAUAAUGACGGUACCAAAGGAGGAAGCCACGGCUAACUACGUGCCAGCAGCCGCGGUAAUACGUAGGUGGCGAGCGUUGUCCGGAUUUACUGGGCGUAAAGGGUGCGUAGGCGGAUGUUUAAGUGAGAUGUGAAAUACCCGGGCUUAACUUGGGUGCUGCAUUUCAAACUGGAUAUCUAGAGUGCAGGAGAGGAGAAUGGAAUUUCCUAGUGUAGCGGUGAAAUGCGUAGAGAUUAGGAAGAACACCAGUGGCGAAGGCGAUUCUCUGGACUGUAACUGACGCUGAGGCACGAAAGCGUGGGUAGCGAACAGGAUUAGAUACCCUGGUAGUCCACGCCGUAAACGAUGAGUACUAGGUGUAGGAGGUAUCG
rnacentral:rRNA from 1 species